rnacentral:rRNA from 1 species
AUACAGAGGGUGCAAGCGUUAAUCGGAUUUACUGGGCGUAAAGCGCGCGUAGGCGGCUAAGUAAGUCGGAUGUGAAAGCCCUGGGCUUAACCUGGGAAUUGCAUUCGAUACUGCUUGGCUAGAGCAUGGUAGAGGAUAGUGGAAUUCCUGGUGUAGCGGUGAAAUGCGUAGAUAUCAGGAGGAACAUCAGUGGCGAAGGCGGCUAUCUGGACCAAUACUGACGCUGAGGUGCGAAAGCGUGGGGAGCAAACAGGAUUAGAUACCCCGGUAGUCC